GACAACACAAAGGCAGAACAGAAAAGAGAGAGAAAGGUUCUGCUUCUCCUCCCCCGUUAUUAACUGUCGGCACCAAAGAGAGUCCAGACUUGGUUUGAUGUUGGCCCCCAGGGAUUUCGCCUGUGCGUGUGCGUAAGGUGAUCAGUGCCGGAAAGUCCAGAGUUGGAAAAUGCAUGUUGAAAUUAGGACCAGGGAAAAAAAAUAUGCACCCAACAAAAUGGGCAGUCAUUAGAAGCCAGGCUAUAACUUUCACCCACGCUGCUGGCUCUGGCCAAGCCUCCAUCUAGGUAAAUAGCGCCCAGCACUCUGAAGCAUUAGGUUUUUAGAAGUGAAGUUAAACUGAUAAAUUAGACCUCAUUUAUUGAACAGCAGUUAGAGCCGAUUGCCUAGGGAGUCGUUUGACACCUUUGAAGACCCUGCUAACUUAAUUGGUGAUAGUUUGGGGGCUGAAGGCAACAUUUAAGCCAGGAGCAGCAGGACACCGUGCCGCAUGAAAAUGGAGAAGACAAGCAUUCUCUCUGACAAGGGGAGUCAUAUAUAGAUUUUUGUGUCCAUUGUUUUCGCUUAUUUGUGUGUGUGCUUUACUCAGUCAAUCAAAUAUAAUUGACACCACUGGGUUCUGUUGUUUUGUAGAUGACAGGAGCUAAUACAAGGGAAAAAAGCUGCAAGUAAACUUCCCCCUGAAAGGCUGCGAAAAGGUUUUUCCACCGGGCCCAUGACAUUUUUUGCUCAAUUGUAUUAAUUGAUGUAGUGACAAGGCACUUGGGAAGAUGAUGGAUACUGAUCACUACACCCUUUUUUAAGGUUGGCCUCUAUCUUGCUAUUAGAAUAAGCACUUGUUUGUACAAGGAGUGAAGAACAAAACAAGGCAGCCCUCUGCCUGCCAUAUGCACCUAACAGGGGAGGGCAUUAGUGGGCUCUGUAAGGGUACCAAGGCCAUGCUGGAGAUGGGUGUUUGCUCAAAGACAAGCUCUCAACUUUGAACUUUACAUCUUCUCCCCUCGACCUGUGGUCUUGGGGGAGGUUCUGCCCCCAGUUUUUUAAUCUUUUGCUCAGAGCUGCAAAUGAUUCUAAGAGUUUUCUUAAAGUCUUCUGUGCUCAAGUGCCAGGACAAAACACUGAGGGAAGCUCACCGGCACUGGGGCACCCUGGGAUCAGUGCUGCCAAAUGAUGCGGGCUAGGGGAGCUGGAGGUUUGGGGAUGCUCAUUUCUCAGAGUCAGUGACAGCGGCAAUGAUGCGUUAGAGAAAGCCACAUGGCCUAGCAAGACAGUGCCAGGGCUGAAAUGACUUUGACUACUCAUGGAUGGAGCUAUUCAAAGAAGACCUUGAAUUCUCAAAAGGGGAGGGUACAGAGGAAGGGAUUCCUUUUUUUUUUUUUUUUUUGUCUACAGAAGUCUCCUGAAGCUUGCCCGAAUAUAGUCUCUGGUUCACUUGAGGUACCAGAAACUGUAUGAUAACAUCUUGAGUCUCUGGAUCAAAUCGAAUGUGUAAAUCACUUUGAAUUCUUUGUACUGAUCCUAAAUUCACAGGGCAAAUGUGUUUUCAGUCACACUAGGAAAACUUGAACUCAAACAUGUAAUUUCAUUAGUUUAUGAAGUUCGUUCAUCAAGUACUUACUGUCCACAGUUUCCAUUGUUAAGCAUUUAAAUUUUGAAUUGCAUCAUUCAAUACUGUGAAAUUUAGAGCAAGGACUACUGUAAGGAUUGAAGGAAAAUGUCCAUUACCCAAAUACUCCAAGUAAAAAUCAGUAGCUCAACACACAGUUCAAGGAAGGUGAAAGCCCAAACUUGAUUUCGCUCCACAAGUGUUUCGAGAAAGCAUUUUAUUAACCUCAUCACAGAAGAAUUUCCACAAUACAUCCUGAGCAAAGAGUGAAACUCAAUUUUCCAGAACAAAUUCACUUCCCCGUGCUAUUUUUCAGGCAUCAGUAGAUAGUCAUGGCAACUAUACAGGAGAAACUCCAGCAGAUCUAGUUACUGGACAACUCCUGCUCUUUCUCAAAGAAAAUCCUCUCUUCCUUCAUUCAUUCAAUACAUAUUUAUUGAGCACCUGCACUGGAGCUGUAACAAUGAGAAAAAAAUGGCAUCUCUGCCUUCCUGGAUUAUUCAUGAGAGAAUAAUAUGAGACAGGCAUUAAUCAGAUGAUAAAUCCAAAUAAGUGUGAAAUAUUAGGCGCUCUGAAUGAGAGGUAAAUGGGACUACGAGAGUUUAUAAAUCUGAAAGUUCAGGGAAGACUUCACGAAGGAAGUAAUGACUGAGUUGAGAUCUAAAAAAACUGAGCUGCUGACAUGAAGGGAAGAGAGGGCAGAGAGGAAAGGGGAACGAGUCAGUCACGCAUCUGCACAUGGCAAGAGAGACUAGUACAGUCCUAGGAACUCCAAUCAGCCAAAGUGACAAACACAGCCAUGCAGAGUGUGGCAGGAGGUGAGCUUCAGGUGGCAUGGACGGGUCUACACCAACCUGGGACAAACAGCUUUAAAAUCCAGAUACCUCUUCAGUGUAUUGUCCUCCAUCAAACUCUACUCCUUACUAACCUGCUAUUUUUAUUUUUGAGAGCUCACGCUAGUAGUAAUAGGCUAUCAAAAUAAUGGCACAAGGCUGGCGGCUGCCUCUUGCAUAGAUUCCUAAAAAACUCCAGCUGUGGUUAGAGGCAGAGCAAGAAACCGGGGGGGAAUGGAGCUGGAUGGGCUCUCUGUGGCUACGGGAAGCCUGGAUAGCCACGUAUCGGCUGUCCCUGCUUAUGUCUCGAGUGAAAUGAAUCCUUGUUAUUGGACAGCACCAACUCGGCAUCAACUCCAGCUUGGAAAAAGGUUCAGAUGAUUUGACAGUGAGGAAAUUUGCCAGUGUUGUGGAAUUAUACUGCAGUAACAUGGAGCCAUCUUGGAUUGUGUUCUUAAUACCUUUAGAGAACAAAGUGUUUCUUUCCCCCUUUAUUUAUUUUUUUUUAUUGAAGUACAGCUGAUUUGCAAUCUUGUAUUAGUUUUAAGGGUACAGAAAAGUGACUCAAUUACAUAUAUAUGUAUUCAUAUAUAUAUGUGUUGAAUAUAUCUCCCUGUGAUAUACAGUAGACCCUUGUUGGUUAUCUGUUUUACAUACAUUAUAGUGCAUAUAUGUUAAUCCCAAACUACCCAUCAGUUCUUUACUUGAUGCAUCCUCUGUCCUUCAAAUACCCUUCUCCACUUACUCCCUUUCUAGCACCACAACUGAGGUUGCCUUUUGUUGUUUCAUUGGGGUUUUGCUGGAUAAAUUCUUAAUUCCUGUGAAUGUUCUGGCAGGAAUUGUGUUUUAUAAAUCCCUUUAGCCUAGUGCUGUGAAACAAUUUGCAUUUUCAGUAAGUUUAUGAUUAAUUUACAACCAAAUCUAAAUCUUUGGCAAAGAAACAAGGUAGGCAUCUCUUCUAAGCCAGGAAGAACCAACUAGUUUGAAAUUAUUAUUUCAUAACAAAUUUUGUAGGUGAAGGGGGCUGAGAUCCAGAGCUUGGGAGUCUGGUUUCCUCCUGAUUUUCGGGUACUGUUGUAGGCACCAGAAAUGCACUGUUGAGCAAUACACGUGGUGCCUGUCAGUGAUGAGCUUAUUCUAAAGGAAGGAAACAGAUACACACCAAAAAAGUCAGCCAAAAAGUCUAUGAAGGACAUCAAAGUGGGUGACGUGAUGGACAUUGCCUGGAGGUGGUUCCAGGUUGUAUGUCAGAAAAGUAAGAAUGUAACAUUUAGUUUGAGACCUGAACGGUGAAACCCGCUAUGCAAAGAACAGUGAAAAGCCUAUUUCACUGAGAAGAAACUGCUUUUGCAAAGGCAGAAAUGUUUGGGGAACAGCAAGAAAGCUAAGAUUUCACCUUGAUGAUGGCAGCUGGUCAGGUCAGGCAAUCCAGGAAGUAGAUCCAAUACCAAAGUAGAAAGUUUUUGGGGAAAAUGCCUGUGAAAUACAGAGGGAAGAAGAAGCAGGUCUGGACUGUGAGAUCUCUAGGUCAUGACACUGGGAAAGAAGAGGCAGAAGGAAGGAGGAUUAGGUGGAAAGAGCCUCGGAUUGCAAUGGAGCUCUGAGCAAGUCUCAGCCAGGCCAUGGGGAGCUCAAAUAAAUAUUGCUCAUUUGAGGGAUUCCGUGUUGGGCAGAAAUAGCCCAGCUCCAGUGCCUCUGCUGUGUUAAGUCAUUAGCUGAGAGCAGCAUGGGGAGAGCCUGGCCUCAGCCUGUCUGUGGUUCCCUCUGGAAGGGAGAUCUGAGUAGCACUCUUCCUUGGCUUACAUGGUAGCUUCAGAACCUCUUUGUAAAACUGACUCAGUUUGCCCAUCUCUUGGGAAGAGGGACUGCUGAAUACAGGUCAUAUAUUACGUUAUCUCAGUGUUUUCCCAAGUGAGGGUGAUUUUGCCCCCCUGGGGGAUAUUUGGCAAUGUCUGGAGAUACUUCUGACAGUCACAUUUUGGGAGGGAAGGGAAGGGCAUCUCGUGAGCACAAGCCACGUGUGCUGCUAAAAUACCCGCCCCCCAGUACACAGGACAGGCCUCCACAGUGAAGAAUUAUCUGGUUUAAAAUGUCAGUAACACCUGAGAUAGGAAACCUACUUUACAGCAAGUUGAAAAAAUAUCAACACUAUUUGUAAAAGAAUGCAAGGCGGUGAGCAGGGAGCAGCUCGUAUACAUGCUGCAUGUCACGGCACGUCCAGAGAGCACCAUAAACCCCAAACUCUACCUGCCAACCCUUGCUCAUUUCCUCUUCCGUGUGUAUAGUCUAUGAAAUCAAUCACACACACAUAUUACAAAGACAGUGUGAAGACACAAUGCCGUAAACACCCACACCAUGUACACACACACACUCUACCCACUGUUGGUACAUAAGUCCCAAAUAUUAUUCUCACGGAUGGCACGGUUGAAGAAUGAUGCGGCGAUCUUUUUUUUUGUCAGAAGAGAAGAAAACGGCCCCACACUGUACAUUUCUAAGCCACACAUACAGUGUUCCUCACUGAGAUGCAGUGCUCAUUUAAAACAUUAUUGUUUCACAUGUUUGACUUCCGGCUGAGGAUAACCAAACCCCAACUUCCUUUCCUACAAAGGAGCCCCAACACUGGCUCCUUUAUCCCGUUUCUCCAGAGGGGGACCAUAGCUAUGAAAAUGUCCUCUGACCAGUCCACUGACAGAACACACUCACGGCCAAGAGUGGAGUUUCUCAGAGCAGAUAUGGGAAGAAGAGUCUUGGAAAUAAUUUAUUGGAAAAUGUGAACGUAGCUCAGAGCAUGAGCUCACUCUUGGCAGCCUGAAAAAAGAAACAGAAUUGUCUAUUGUGCUCAUGGUGUGCAAAGCCAUGAUCAGCCUUCCAAGAGCUCAGCUGAAGGUCACAGGAAGGAAUCAGAUACAGAGAAAUUUUCAAAAGGAAAAAAAAGAAAAACCUAUUCAAUCCCCUACCCCUGGACUGCACUGAUGCCCACAGGAGAAGGAAUGGUGGGUUCUACUGAGGCAAAGUAAUUUCCCUGCUGCUAAAUAGUUUUGCGGAAAGAUGAGUUGGAAAAGAUCAACAGGAAGUUCCCGUAGUGGCUCAGUGGUAGCGAACCUUACUGGUAUCCAUGAGGACAUGGGUUUAAUCCCUGGCCUUGCUCAGUAAGUUAAGGAUCUGGUUUUGCCGUGAGCUGUGGUGUAUCUUGCAGACAUGGCUCGGAUCCUGAGUUGCUGUGGCUGUGGUGUAGCCUGGCAGCUACAGCUUGGAUUUGACCCCUAGCCUGGGAAUUUCAAUGUGCCAUGGGUGUGGCCUGAAAAAGCAGGAAAAGAAAAAAGAAAAAAAAGGAUCAACAAAAUUGAAGGUAGAGGUUAUCUGUGGAUUUCCAGCAUCUGUUGGUUUUCUCUCUUGUUCCAUUUUAUCGUCAAUAAUUAUCAAGUGACAAGAAAGUCUUGAAAAAGUAUCUAAAAGAAUGAAUUAGGAGAGUUGGCAGAGUUAUGACUUUUCUUACUUUGUGAAAUUUUUUGAAAACUACAUAUGGCCUUCUGCUUCCCAUAGUGUAAAGUUUCAGCACAGCUAUUGCAAUCCGAUAAUAAAAUUAAAGAACAUCUUUUCUAUAGCUCAUGUAGGCUUUACUUUCAAGAAAAAAAAAAAAAA
ensembl:lncRNA